AGCGCCACCGGAUCCACCGCGCGGGUGACCACCAAAUAGUCGCGCAUGACAAUGGCGUGCCGGUUCUC
rnacentral:sRNA from 1 species